GAUGAACGCUGGCGGCGUGCUUAACACAUGCAAGUCGAGCGAAGCACUUAAGUUCGAUUCUUCGGAUGAGGACUUUUGUGACUGAGCGGCGGACGGGUGAGUAACGCGUGGGUAACCUGCCUCAUACAGGGGGAUAACAGUUAGAAAUGGCUGCUAAUACCGCAUAAGACCACAGUACUGCAUGGUACAGUGGUAAAAACUCCGGUGGUAUGAGAUGGACCCGCGUCUGAUUAGGUAGUUGGUGAGGUAACGGCCCACCAAGCCGACGAUCAGUAGCCGACCUGAGAGGGUGACCGGCCACAUUGGGACUGAGACACGGCCCAGACUCCUACGGGAGGCAGCAGUGGGGAAUAUUGCACAAUGGGCGAAAGCCUGAUGCAGCGACGCCGCGUGAAGGAUGAAGUAUUUCGGUAUGUAAACUUCUAUCAGCAGGGAAGAAAAUGACGGUACCUGACUAAGAAGC
rnacentral:rRNA from 1 species